rnacentral:lncRNA from 1 species
CCCCACCCCCGGUGCCUUGGCGCUGGUUUCGAUUAGUAGCAGACUUGAAUGGUCCCAGGUGCUCUGCUCUGUGUCCUGUGGCUGGAUGCUGUGGAGGGUUCUCAGGCAAGCUCCUAAAUUGCGACAUGCCGCCGCCGCAGAGGGGCUCCCGCCGCCCACUGGAAGCCUCUCCGUGCCGUCAGUCACGGUGCCAUUCGGUACGACCGGAAACAGCGAGCAGGACGGGGCACGCAUGAGGCGAAGCUUCCUGACUGGACUGCAUCUCCCAUCAACCCCUGCGGCCGCAGCAGACCGAUCGGACUUCCUGUCCGGGCCGGAGGCACAUCCUGUCUGGCGCAGAAAGUUAUGGUUCAAUAAUUCUAGUGCAUGCUGGGAGUUGUAGUUACUUCCCUCCUCGCGCGGGAUCUCCUGUUUGCCACAGGAAGUGAGGUGGCGGUAGCCCCUAGGCAUGCUAGGAGUCGUAAUUCUGUCCCAGUCCCGGGUUUGGGUCCUCUGAGCCCCGCGAGGUUUUUCUCUGAUUGGCGAGCACAGCUCAGUGGGCGGAGACGGUGAUUGACAGGCGGAGGGGGC